GAUGAACGCUGGCGGCGUGCCUAAUACAUGCAAGUCGAGCGAACGGACGAGAAGCUUGCUUUUCUGAUGUUAGCGGCGGACGGGUGAGUAACACGUGGAUAACCUACCUAUAAGACUGGGAUAACUUCGGGAAACCGGAGCUAAUACCGGAUAAUAUUUUGAACCGCAUGGUUCAAAAGUGAAAGACGGUCUUGCUGUCACUUAUAGAUGGAUCCGCGCUGCAUUAGCUAGUUGGUAAGGUAACGGCUUACCAAGGCAACGAUGCAUAGCCGACCUGAGAGGGUGAUCGGCCACACUGGAACUGAGACACGGUCCAGACUCCUACGGGAGGCAGCAGUAGGGAAUCUUCCGCAAUGGGCGAAAGCCUGACGGAGCAACGCCGCGUGAGUGAUGAAGGUCUUCGGAUCGUAAAACUCUGUUAUUAGGGAAGAACAUAUGUGUAAGUAACUGUGCACAUCUUGACGGUACCUAAUCAGAAAGCCACGGCUAACUACGUGCCAGCAGCCGCGGUAAUACGUAGGUGGCAAGCGUUAUCCGGAAUUAUUGGGCGUAAAGCGCGCGUAGGCGGUUUUUUAAGUCUGAUGUGAAAGCCCACGGCUCAACCGUGGAGGGUCAUUGGAAACUGGAAAACUUGAGUGCAGAAGAGGAAAGUGGAAUUCCAUGUGUAGCGGUGAAAUGCGCAGAGAUAUGGAGGAACACCAGUGGCGAAGGCGACUUUCUGGUCUGUAACUGACGCUGAUGUGCGAAAGCGUGGGGAUCAAACAGGAUUAGAUACCCUGGUAGUCCACGCCGUAAACGAUGAGUGCUAAGUGUUAGGGGGUUUCCGCCCCUUAGUGCUGCAGCUAACGCAUUAAGCACUCCGCCUGGGGAGUACGACCGCAAGGUUGAAACUCAAAGGAAUUGACGGGGACCCGCACAAGCGGUGGAGCAUGUGGUCUAAUUCGAAGCAACGCGAAGAACCUUACCAAAUCUUGACAUCCUUUGACAACUCUAGAGAUAGAGCCUUCCCCUUCGGGGGACAAAGUGACAGGUGGUGCAUGGUUGUCGUCAGCUCGUGUCGUGAGAUGUUGGGUUAAGUCCCGCAACGAGCGCAACCCUUAAGCUUAGUUGCCAUCAUUAAGUUGGGCACUCUAAGUUGACUGCCGGUGACAAACCGGAGGAAGGUGGGGAUGACGUCAAAUCAUCAUGCCCCUUAUGAUUUGGGCCACACACGUGCUACAAUGGACAAUACAAAGGGCAGCGAAACCGUGAGGUCAAGCAAAUCCCAUAAAGUUGUUCUCAGUUCGGAUUGUAGUCUGCAACUCGACUACAUGAAGCUGGAAUCGCUAGUAAUCGUAGAUCAGCAUGCUACGGUGAAUACGUUCCCGGGUCU
rnacentral:rRNA from 1 species